CCAACUGAUAUGACGUGCUUGCACUGAAUUGACGUUGGAUUCCCAGUGAGCGGCGGACGGGUGAGUAACACGUGGGCAACCUGCCCUGAAGCGGGGGAUAACAUCUGGAAACAGGUGCUAAUACCGCAUAACAACGAAAACCUCAUGGUUUUCGUUUCAAAGAUGGUUUCGGCUAUCACUUCAGGAUGGGCCCGCGGUGCAUUAGCUAGUUGGUAAGGUAACGGCUUACCAAGGCGAUGAUGCAUAGCCGAGUUGAGAGACUGAUCGGCCACAAUGGAACUGAGACACGGUCCAUACUCCUACGGGAGGCAGCAGUAGGGAAUCUUCCACAAUGGGCGCAAGCCUGAUGGAACAACACCGCGUGAGUGAAGAAGGGUUUCGGCUCGUAAAGCUCUGUUGUUGGAGAAGAACGUGCGUGAGAGUAACUGUUCACGCAGUGACGGUAUCCAACCAGAAAGUCACGGCUAACUACGUGCCAGCAGCCGCGGUAAUACGUAGGUGGCAAGCGUUAUCCGGAUUUAUUGGGCGUAAAGCGAGCGCAGGCGGUUGCUUAGGUCUGAUGUGAAAGCCUUCGGCUUAACCGGAGAAGUGCAUCGGAAACCGGGCGACUUGAGUGCAGAAGAGGACAGUGGAACUCCAUGUGUAGCGGUGGAAUGCGUAGAUAUAUGGAAGAACACCAGUGGCGAAGGCGGCUGUCUGGUCUGCAACUGACGCUGAGGCUCGAAAGCAUGGGUAGCGA
rnacentral:rRNA from 1 species